rnacentral:rRNA from 1 species
GACGAACGCUGGCGGCGUGCCUAAUACGUGCAAGUCGAGCGAAUCUUUCGGAACUUGUUCCGGAAGAUUAGCGGCGGACGGGUGAGUAACACGUGGGCAACCUGCCUGUAAGACUGGGAUAACACCGGGAAACCGGUGCUAAUACCGGAUAAUUCUUUCCCUCUCAUGAAGGAAAGUUGAAAGUCGGUUUCGGCUGACACUUACAGAUGGGCCCGCGGCGCAUUAGCUAGUUGGUGAGGUAACGGCUCACCAAGGCGACGAUGCGUAGCCGACCUGAGAGGGUGAUCGGCCACACUGGGACUGAGACACGGCCCAGACUCCUACGGGAGGCAGCAGUAGGGAAUCUUCCACAAUGGACGAAAGUCUGAUGGAGCAACGCCGCGUGAGCGAUGAAGGCCUUCGGGUCGUAAAGCUCUGUUGUUAGGGAAGAAUAAGUACCGGAGUAACUGCCGGUACCUUGACGGUACCUAACCAGAAAGCCACGGCUAACUACGUGCCAGCAGCCGCCGUAAUAC